rnacentral:rRNA from 1 species
UACGUAGGGUGCAAGCGUUAAUCGGAAUUACUGGGCGUAAAGCGUGCGCAGGCGGUUCGCUAAGACCGAUGUGAAAUCCCCGGGCUUAACCUGGGAACUGCAUUGGUGACUGGCGGGCUAGAGUAUGGCAGAGGGGGGGUAGAAUUCCACGUGUAGCAGUGAAAUGCGUAGAGAUGUGGAGGAAUACCGAUGGCGAAGGCAGCCCCCUGGGCUAACACUGACGCUCAGGCACGAAAGCGUGGGGAGCAAACAGG